UACAGAGGGUGCGAGCGUUGUUCGGAAUUAUUGGGCGUAAAGGGCGCGUAGGCGGUGCGGUAAGUCACCUGUGAAAUCUCCUGGCUCAACUGGGAGCUUGCAGGCGAAACUGCCGGGCUUGAGUGUGGGAGAGGUGAGUGGAAUUCCUGGUGUAGCGGUGAAAUGCGUAGAUAUCAGGAGGAACACCUGUGGCGAAAGCGGCUCACUGGACCAUAACUGACGCUGAUGCACGAAAGCUAGGGGAGCAAACAGG
rnacentral:rRNA from 1 species